GCUGCCACCUUGCAUGUUCACUAUUCCAUGUCAGCUUAUAUGUAUGUGGUGUGUUUUUGGUUGUAACAUUUGGUUGAAUCUGUUUCGUUUGCUUUUGUUGCAGACCAAAAAAAGUAAUUUGCAUCUGAGACACCAAGAAACUAUGGACAACAAGAAAGCUACAAUAAAAAAGAAGUCUGGAUAUGACAACUUUAAAAAAGAGUUUUUUAAAAAAAUGAAGGAAAAUUCAGUGGUCUUAUAGAAGCCAAUGACUCAAUGAGAACAAAUUGGCAAAAAUUAUCAAAUGCUGAACAAGAAAGAUAUAGAAACAUGGCUUCGUUAGAUGGACAAGGCAAGGAAUCAGCAUCUUGCUCCACGGCAACGGUUUCAUUUAAUACGCGUUGUUUUCCUGGCCAGUUCAAGGAAGUUGUGGAAUAAAUAUCCAAACAUAAAAGGUUAUGUACCAAGGUCAAGAAAAUGGGGUUCCAAUAUCUCUUGGAUUUUAAAUUUAAUAAACUACUAAGAGAGUUAUGUGAACAAGUAAUUGCUACUUUUGACACACCAACCUCAACACUUGGAAUUAGAGGGAAGAAAUUAAGUGUUGAUGGGAAGGAUGUACACACCAUCUUAGGUGUGCCUUAUGGUGGGAAAGCUAUUUUUUUAGAUGACGACAGCGAAGCAUCUCAAGUAUUAAAGAAGAAUUAUCUUGGCAAACCCUUCACUGAGUUGAAGAGUAUGGUAAUAUCCAGCAAGGCUGAAAAAAAUUUUAAAACGGUGUUUUUGUUAUUCACUUUUGAAACACUUCUUUGUCUAAUAACAAGUACAACUAUUAGUAUGAGGAGUAUUAAAAGUUUGAGUAGGAAGAAAAAUGUUCAAGAAUAUGACUGGUAAUCUUUUGUGUUGUCGGAGCUUAUUAGAGAAAUUUUGACUUAUAAGACAGCAUUAAGGAGUGGACAAAGGAAGAAAAAUGUAGGAGGAUGCUUAUUUUUCUUACUGGUAUAGACUAUUUGAAAUCUUUCUAUAUUUUGUUUCAAUUUAUUUGUUAUUGAUUGGAUUAUAAUUAUCCUUCUGGUACAGAUAUUUUACAUGCAGUACUUUCCAUUGGGCCCAACACCAUCAGUAGAUGGUGGAACGCCUGUGAUGCAUUUAUGGAACCAAUACAUGGUGCAAAAAUGGGAUAAGCUAGAAAAAGAAAGCAUCCACGACAUUUUUUAUGGUGGUCAGGCUAAUAAAGUGUCUAAAGUUUUACCUCUACUUGCAAUGAUAACUCACCCAGUAUAUAAAUGUUUAUAAUUUAUUGUCUACGUUUUGGUUUUCACUUGCUUAAUAAGUUUGGUGUUGAAACUUGGUUAGAGUGUGAGGGAGAUAUACGAAGAAUUUCUGCAAUAUGCCAAUACAUUUGCAAGUAAAGUGCUAAAGUUGCAACAAAGUCUUAACUAACUUCAAAUAUUUGAUAGUAAAGCUAUCGUGUGGGUUGGCUAACCAAGUGAAGAAGAAGUGGAGGAAGAGGAAUGUGGAGAUAAAAAUGAAGCUGAAGAAGAUGAUGGAGAUGGAGACAAGGGCGAAGAUGAAGCUGAAGAUGCACAUGAAGCUAGGGAUGAAGAUGGGGAUGAAGAUGAGGAUGACGAUGGACAUGAAACUGCAGCUGGAGCUGGAUCUAAAGAAGAUGAAGAUGAAGGCUCCGAUAGUAAGGAAGAAAGCGAUGAAAGACAAGAUGGUAAGAAAAGGAGGAGAACAUAUGAAAGCCUAAUGAUUCGAAGGUCUGAGAGGAAAAGGGUUUAGGUAAAUUGGUCAACUUUUUUGAAAGAACCAAUACAAAGGAGAAUUACAAAAGAACAACAAAUAUAUGAAUAUUGCACUAGGCGGACCAAUCAAGUAGAGGGUGAAGAGUAAGUAAUGUGAUGUUACUUUUCAAUAAUCAUGGUGCAUUAUGUUUAAUAUAAUAACACUUUUUUUGGUAGGUAUGUCAUUGAGAUGUACGAUUGCUACUUAACUAGGGCCGAAUGCCAAAGUCUUGGUCUUAAAAAAUGGAUAAGUACAGUGGUCAUGAGCAUGGUCGUAAAAGUGAUGGUUGGUGAGAAACUUCAUGAAGGAAAGGUGUGGAGGUACAUAUUUGAUUCAGAAUUUAUGGCCAACCUAAGGGAUAAAAAGUUAAGAUGGUCUGUCUUUAAGGAUGCAAAGAUGCUCAUGCUCGAUGAACUUGGAUAUAACCUUGGAAAUUGUGAUUACCUCUUCUUAGCCAUGCUUGUGUUCAAUCACUGGUUUUGUUAUUGUGCUAAUUUGAAAAAUGACAAAUUUUUCAUCCUUGAUUUAUUGGCUGGGAAAUUAUUUAAAGAGAAGAUGAUGGCCGGAUUUAUGGUAUACUUUAUUAGUGCUUUUGCAUAACUACUUUAGGUUACUUAAAUUUUUAGAUGGGAAUGGUUAUCUAACUCUGAAACUAUUUGUAGAGAACUAGCAUAAUUGAGUUGUUACAGGCAUGUGACCCAGAGAAAUAUGGAGAGGAUUUUUAGAUGGAGAUGAUAUUUGAAGAACUUCCCAAAUAGAGUAAUGCAGAUGAUUGUGGGGUAUAUGUGAUAAAGUACUGUGCAGAAUGGGAUGGUAGAAGAAGAAAAGGAGGACUGACCAUGGAGGACUUUUCAAACGAAUAACUGAGACAGUUUAGGGUGGAUGUGGUGUGGUGGCUGGUAAAUCACACGAGAAAUGAAGUGAGAAACAAAGUAUUUGCCUUUGUCUCAGCAGCUAACUAACCAAAGAGGACAGGAAAGAAGUGUAGAUGAAUUUUUAAUCUGUGACAUAUUUUCAUUAUUAAUCUUUGAUGGGUGUGAUGCAUUUGCCUCGCUGAAGGUCCUACUCCUCA